rnacentral:lncRNA from 1 species
UUUACCUCCGAUCAAAACCGAAUUUCAGCAAAUACAACAGGAAUGGCUGAUGAUCGUUCCCCACAGGGAAGCCAAUCAGGCAGAACGACAAACUUGACCACCAGAAAAACAAGAUGUCACCACUACUUUAACGAAUCAAAAAUCAGAUCCGUUUGCGGAAAACAUUAUAAAUACACCAGAUUCUAAAAAACACCGUUACAAGCGAAAGUUUCUGCACACGACGGAAAGAGAAUCACAGAAAAUGUAAGCCAAAUCCUUUUUUAACUAUCUUCAUUUCUCCCUUGCUUUUCUCCCACUUAACUCGGUAUGACUGAAACUUUGAUGAUAUUCAUUUCUUGUCAACCACUACUAACACUACUGAAUUUUGUACAUUUAAAUAAGUUGACCCACAGUGUUUAUAUUAGUGGCUGUUGUGCGCAUUUAAACUUGUCAACAUUGGAACUUUUAAGUAUGUUUUUCUAAUUCAUAAUUCUAAAUUUUUACCAUUCAUAAACAGAAAAUAUUGUUGAAACUAGUCUGGUAUAUAUGAGCAGUCUUUAUAGAAACCACCUAAUAAUUAAUUAAUUAAGUACAUGAAUGAAUAUUAAACUGAUUCUCUGUACUCUUUCUUUUUUAAUGUUUAUAAUUUAUAUAUACACACCAUUUACCUAUUUGGGUUAUGAUAUCAUUUUUGGAAUUCUUAAAUUUUAUUUUUAUACAACAUAACAAUAUUGUUUAUAAACAUUCCCCCAUAGUGCCCCUAAUAAAACUUCCUCUGUAUUAACAUAUUAGGUUUCUUCGCGUCUUUCCCCUUUAACUGGUAAUUAACAUCAUGAUUUAUAGUCUACCCCUACCCUGCCUCUUUUUAUAGACAGUUACUUAUAUCCAGCUGACUACUCCUAAUGCAUUAUUUCCUUCCUGGGGAAAAGGGAUACAUGAUAAUAUUUAUGACCAUACCUAGCCAUGAGCUGUCAACUCAUUCUUGUCCUUUAUUCAAAAUAGACACAGUCUUCUAGUCUCAGAUUUAGUAGUUCAUAAAGAGAUAAAUGAAUUAGAAAUGAAUUACAAUUCUUACAACCCUAUGACCCCACUCUGCCCUAUGCGAUUCUUAGAAGUCGUAGUCUAUUCUUAGCGACAACAUGGAUUUCUCCCAUCUUCUUACUCUGUUAAAAUAUUUAAGGAAAAUUAUAUUAAUGUGUCCUACUUGUUAAAAUUCCAUUUAUUCAUUUGUGCAGCUGAAGAUAGCACUGCAUAUUGCUGUAAUCAUUACACUGUUCAAUUAAAUGGAACUGCUUGAAACGGUAAUACUGCAUUACUACUUGAUAUCCUAUUGUUUAUUUUGAGUUUAUUCACCUUCCUUCGAGCUGUGCAGGUAAUACUGGACUGAUUUGGUGCUUCAACUCAAGUACCUAAUUCAAUUGAAUCUUAAUUAUUUAAUGUAUUUAUGUAUGCAUGUAUGUAUGUAUGUAUGUAUGUAUGUAUGUAUGUAUGUAUGUAUGUAUGUAUUUAUGUAUGUACGUGUGUGCGCGCCCACGUCUGUAUGUAUGACUAUGCAUGUACAUAUAAAUGAACGUGUAAAUUUGUAACAGCAGAAUUAGCCAAACUCAAUUUAUAAAAGUACAUUGUUCAUAAAACGUAAUAGAGUCAGUAUAAUCUUUUAUCUUUUAUUUUUUCAGUCAUUCGACUGCGGCCAUGCUGGGACACACCUUGAACCCUUUGGUUGAACGAAUCUACCCCAAUACAUAUUUUUAAGCUGGGUAUUUAUUCUAUCGCUCUCUAUUGCCAGAGCACUAUACUCCGCGGGCCUAAACAAACCAACACCGGUUGUCAAACAGCGGGUGAGGACAAACACCGAUUCGAAGACACACACACACACACACACACAUAUAUAUAUAUAUAUAUAUAUAUAUAUAUAUAUAUACAUGCACACACUCAUGCACACACACUCAUACACACACAUAUUUAUGCGAUAGGCUUCUUUAGGUUUCCGUCUACCAAAUCCACUCACAAGGAUUUGGUCGACCUGUAACUAUUGUAGAAGACUUGCCCAAGAUGUGAUGCGGUAGGACUAAAUCAUGUCUUCGGGAAGCAAACUUCUUACCACACAGCCAUGCCUGCACCUAUAUGUGUGUGUGUAUACUCUUUUACUCUUUUAUUUGUUUCAGUCAUUUGACGGCGGCUAUGCUGGAGCACCGCUUUUAGUCGAGGAAAUCGACCCCAUGACUUAUGCUUUGUAAGCCUAGUACUUAUUCUAUCGGGCCCUUUUGCCGAACCGCUAAGUUACGGAGACGUAAACACACCAGCAUCUGUUGUCAAGCGAUGUUGAGGGCACACACAUAGACAUAUACACACAUGUACAUAUAUAUAUAUAUAAACAAAUAUAAGACGGGCUUCUUUCAGUUCCCGUCUACCAAAUCCACUCACAAGGCUUUGGUCGGCCCGAGGCUAUAGUAGAAGACACUUGCCCAAGGUGCCAUGCAGUGGGACUGAACCCGGAACCAUGUGGUUGGUAAGCAAGCUACUUACCACACAGCCACUCCUACGCCUGUAUGUAUGUAUGUAUGUAUUAUGUAUGUAUGUAUUAUGUAUGUAUGUAUGUAUGUAUGUACAAAACCACAGUAUGUUAAUUUCUUUAAUUCACAUAAAUAUAAAGUAUUGUGCACUCUGGCAUGAAUUUAAGUAUCGCAACGUAUUAUAGUCUCCAGAUGGAGAUCUUGAAAUGUAUCUUUACUAUCUUUCACCCACCGUGUUUCUCUGUUUAUUUCAGGCUGAUUGAUAUUCCACAGACUCAUGUCAUCAAACGCCACAUAAUUUCUGGCUUAACAAGUAUGUCUUUAGCUUAUCAGCGACUAACGAUGUGAAUACUCAAUGAUACAUCCACAUGUUCCAUGAGGUAUUUGGCGAUAAAUAUUCCAUAUUUUUAUGUGAUACAUUAGACGUCCUUCGAUUACUUUACAUAAAGCCAUUGCAACAACAACUUGUUU